rnacentral:lncRNA from 1 species
AAAAUAGGUUGCCGAUUAUAUCCCUUUUGUUGGAUGGUAACCGGAUUUUGAUUCUAUGGUUAAUGUACAUUGAUGAACUGUGUUUAGCCCAUUUGGCUAUGUUCAAUCAUUUUUUAAAAAAGGUUUCGGAUUAUAUGCAUUGUGUUGGAUUGUAAUCGGAUUUUGAAUUUAUGAUUAAUGUAUUUUGAUGAACUUAUUUUAGCCGAUUAUAUCCAUUGUGUUGGAUGGUAACCGGAUUUUGAAUUUAUGAUAAAUGUAUAUUGAUGAACUGUGUUUAGCCCAUUUGGCUAUGUUCAAUCAUAAAAGAAUAGGUUGCCGAUUAUAUCCAUUGUGUUUGAUGGUAACCGGAUUUUGAAUUUAACAUUAAUGUAUAUUGAGGAACUGUGUUUAGCCCAUUUGACUCUGUUCUAUCAUUAACAAAAUGGUUGCCGAUUAUAUAAUUUGUGUUUGGUGGUAAACGGAUGGUUGCCGAUUAUAUACUUUGUGUUGGGAUGGUAAUCGGAUUUUUAAUUUAUGAUUAAUGUAUAUUGAUGAACUGUGUUUGCCCAUUUGGCUAUGUUCUAUCAUAAAAGAGAGAGUUGCUCAUUAUAUUCAUUGUGUUGUAUGGUCAUUAGAUUUUGAAUUCAUGACUAAUGUAUAUUGAUGAACUUAUUUUAGCCCAUUUGUUAAAUGAUUGACCAUUUCAGUCUUAUUGUCUGAAUGCCCACUAUAGACAUUGUGUAUGCUGGUGACAUGAUUUCGAAUUGAUGUGCUGCCAAAUUGCAAAUUUGUCAUAUUUUCCUUUCUAUCUCAAAGUUUAUAACGGGCUAGAGACAAAAUUUACAUAUAUUAAUAUACUUUUUGCCAAAUUUUCAAGUAUACAAUUGAAUAUUUCUAGACAACGUCAAAAACCCAAGAAGUUCCGCAACACAGUCCAGAUGGUACAGCCACACCGCAACGCUACCCAGCCGUUUCAGCCCCGCAACCGGUUAAUCUGAACCCGCAACAACUUGUGGUUGUGGUGAGCCUUGUUGCAGAAUACCAUUGUUCCGUGUUUGCGCAGCGAAGGGGCAUUUUGGCUGAUGAUUCGCUGCACUGUCAGACAGUGUUGAAUAAAAUGAAUCACUAGUAGCUACCAAUCAAUAUCGUUCUAGGUACUCGUCACUUGGACCUCGUGGAAUCUUCAGAUAGCCAAAACCGGUAUCUCAAAGAGGGUCACUUAAACCUCCAUUACCUCACCAAAACCCUUAUUGUCUUAGCAGUAUUACAAGUCUAUCUUUCUUUAUAUCCAAAUAAAUAAGUGGCAGCUGAAUUUUUAGAGGGUUCUAACAAAGGGUUUUGAUUACAAAACCAGCGCCCUAGAGUCCAAACUUCAGUCAAACUUUAAUUUCCGUUAGGCAAAACUCUGCUGUAGCUAAUGAGAAAGUUACUAGUAUGUAGGAAGAGCAGUUAAGCAGAAUUGCGGUUCCUUUUAAAGAAAUGCCUGUUCCAAAUUUCAGGCAAUCCGCGAUCAGUCUUGUGGCCAAAAAGAUGGUAGCUCGAGGAUUAUACACCAUCUUUCCUUUCCGAAGGGAACCCCGCAGGGUUCAAGUUUGAAUGAUUUUAUUGAUACGUCUUCUUCCUCAGUUCAGUACACUUCUUUAGACAGAGUGACGGAGCUAUUGUUUCAUUAGUGCAAUAUUGCGAAAUGGCUAAAGUUGGCAUCAAAUCUGCCUUUCGCCUUUUGAGGUUCAUAAUUAUGAUUUUGAAAUUAUUAGCCUUCAAAUUAGGAGGGGAUUAUUUUACUGACAAGACGUUACCUAUGAGUGUGCAAUCUUUUGCUGCCAUUGGGAAAAGUUUGCUAAUUUAUUACAAUAGCUGGUCCGGUACAAGAGGAAAUCCGAAAGGCUGUUUUAUUGCUUGGAUAAUUAUGUUUGUUUGGCUCGCUCUAAUUCAGGGAAUGUGUGACCAAUUUGUUCUGUUUUAUAGAUCAAUGCCUUAACAUAAAAAAAAAAUUGCAAGCCUAAGUUGAUCUUUUAAUUUCUGUAACAGAGCCAUUCCCUUUCUAGACUAUUUAGUAGUGGUUUCUAUGCGAUCGUGUCAGCUUUACUUGCAUGCACAGACGACUUGCACCUUACUGCACUUUUAGCCCAUCUUUUAAUCAAGAAUGUAGCUCGUCAUACAACAUGUCUGUAUAUCUCGGACAUUUCUUCUAUUUUAAAAUAAAUAGUCUUGAAUAUCUUACUUAAAGAUUUAUGUUACGUUGAAUGCUUAUCCGUUUUGAUAGGUUGCAUCGGACAAUUGACAUCAGGCAACCUAUAACGCUUGAUUUACUUCGUAAACUUAUACAGGUGACAAAUACUGUUUGCUCUUCUAUAUUUUAGGCAUUACAGUUUUCAGCAGUAAUUUCCCUGACCAUUUUGAUUUUUAAGGAUAUGUGAGCUUGUACACACGAACUCAAACUCCUCGAAUAUAAGUGCUAAAGGUCACGCAUUAUGUGAGGGAGACGUUAGUAUUCUUUUCAGUGCGUCCUACCCAUAUUUGGAUAGUUGGAUGUUCAAUUAUAAAGUCGGUAUUUCGUUACGACAAGGAAUCAGCUGAGGGUUCUCAACUUGUAAUGCAGCGUCAUAAUGCGACCAUACUGUGUCAGAGUCAGGAUGGUAUGAAAUGGCGGCAAGUUAAACCAUUAAUCUUACACUUGUUUCCUUUUGAAGACAAUCAAGUUUUGCACAUGGAAGAAGAAGGUCGUUUGCAAAUAGAUGCGAUGGUUGAGUUUGCUUCUUAUCAAAGGAAUCCUCGAUUGUUUAUACUUGCUGAUGUUUAAUAUCCCACCCUCCACUCCCCUUAUUUUGCUUGUGUUCUCCUUUUUCUUUAUAAUUUCAGGUACAUCUUAUGUGUUCAAGUUCAGCCUACACCUUCCUUCCCUUCAGUCGUAACAGCUUCACAUGGAAUAUUGGAAGUUUUCACAUGUUGAUGUAUGGACAUGACAGUGUCUGUUUUCCAGAACUGUGAAAUGUGUAUGUGUCAUAUAUAAACGUUUAACGUAGUCACUGAUUCUGUAUGUCUGUUUUUUGUAUACCUGAUCUCCGUUGAAUUCUGAUCCCAGGUUCGGCGGUUAGGUCAGCCUC